rnacentral:rRNA from 1 species
UACGUAGGGGGCAAGCGUUGUCCGGAUUUAUUGGGCGUAAAGAGCGUGUAGGCGGCCAGGUAGGUCCGUUGUGAAAACUCGAGGCUCAACCUCGAGACGCCGAUGGAAACCAUCUGGCUAGAGUCCGGAAGAGGAGAGUGGAAUUCCUGGUGUAGCGGUGAAAUGCGCAGAUAUCGGGAGGAACACCGGUGGCGAAGGCGGUUCUCUGGGCCUUACCUGACGCUGAGGAGCGAAAGCGUGGGGAGCGAA